rnacentral:rRNA from 1 species
UACGUAGGGUCCGAGCGUUGUCCGGAAUUACUGGGCGUAAAGAGCUCGUAGGUGGUUUGUCGCGUUGUUCGUGAAAACUCACAGCUCAACUGUGGGCGUGCGGGCGAUACGGGCAGACUGGAGUACUGCAGGGGAGACUGGAAUUCCUGGUGUAGCGGUGGAAUGCGCAGAUAUCAGGAGGAACACCGGUGGCGAAGGCGGGUCUCUGGGCCGGAACUGACGCUAAGGAGCGAAAGCGUGGGGAGCGAACAGG